UUUGCUCUUUUAGGUUUAAGAAGGCUCUCUAGAGAGGAGAAAGGAAUGUUCUAUAUUUCUUUUCUCUUCAGAAUUCUUUAUUCACUAUUCUAUGUUGGGGCUAUUUAAAAUAACAAAGCAAUUCCCCUACAGAAUAGCUUGUGUACUUAAAUUGCUGAUUCACAUAUCUGCAAUGUUAACUUGAACAUAAUUCUUUGUGUGGAAAUAAUCAUUACAUAGCAAUUGGUGUCAUUUUUUUUAAGUACUGUGAAACACACCAACCACUUGACAUUCUCAUUAAAAUCAGAUGGGGAACUGAGACACAGCUCAAAUGAUUUGCUGAAUGCCGUACAGGAAUUUUGUGGCUGAUCUGGAAAUUGAACCCAUAUCUCAGACCAGAGGUUUAACUGCAAGACCAUACUUCCUCUCUAACAGCUCUCUAAUACUGAGGGUAUUUCAUACACCACUGGAUGAUAACCAUUGACAAAUGGUCAUUUUUUUUAAAAUCUGGAACUUCUGUUGACAACAAUAGGCAUCCCAUGCUAUGCAACAGACCCAGCAUUCGCAUGUAAGGAACAAAAGAGGACAUUAUGGUGUAAAAUAUUGAGAAAUUUGGCUCUGAGUCUCCUAGCCCUUUGACAAUGGAAUCUCUACUGUAUGAGAGAGAACUUGACUGUAUGUGGAGGGAACUUUUUGGAGUAUUAGUCAGAUACCAUCAAUAAAACACUUCUGAAAUGUAGUACAUAUAUGUUUAAAUAGCUGGAUCAAGAUUCAUAUAACUUCUGUGCUCUAGACCUGCAACAUACAUAGCACUAAGGCUUAUCAGGUGAAUCCAAUAUGUAUCUCAGCCAUGCAAUGACACUCUAUGUACUUCUAAGAAGACAUAAGAGACUGAAUGAAAAUCUGAUUUCUAAACUGUGAAAUAAUAAAAAUAGCAUCUAUGUAAUGCUUCCCAUCCAGUGAUCUCAAAGUGCUUCAGAGAUUUUAUACAGAUAGCAUAGGCUGGCUAUAAAGACAAAACUCAGAUUUCUCAACUAGGUUGUACUUCCAAAUCAACAGAGAAAUUCACACAAAAAUUGACUGAAUGUAAUGGCUGUGAGAGCAAGCCAGAUGGUUUUGUAGAUUAAAUAAAUCUGCAUAUGGUUAUGGAAGUUAAACUAUAAAUUAGCCAACAUGUAUAUUUUGGAGGAAAAUGUCAUAGGCCUUGUUUGUGAACUGCAUAAUAAUGGCCCAGAUUCACAAACCAACAAUCCCUCUCCCUCAUGAUAUAUCCACAAGAAACUGCAGUGCCUUUCAUAGUUAGACAUAAGAAUGUUGUCCUUCAGGAAGAGAACCCCUUGUAUCUCUUAUAACUAAAGAUCAGGCUAAAUAAAAAAAGGCAGAACAAUAGCUUUGGC